rnacentral:rRNA from 1 species
UAGGGAAUCUUGGACAAUGGGCGAAAGCCUGAUCCAGCCAUGCCGCGUGUGUGAUGAAGGCCUUAGGGUUGUAAAGCACUUUCGCCAGGGAAGAUAAUGACGGUACCUGGAUAAGAAGCCCCGGCUAACUUCGUGCCAGCAGCCGCGGUAAUACGAAGGGGGCUAGCGUUGUUCGGAAUUACUGGGCGUAAAGCGCACGUAGGCGGUUUUCCAAGUUGAAGGUGAAAUCCCUGGGCUUAACCCAGGAACUGCCUCCAAAACUGGAUGACUCGAGUCCGAGAGAGGUGAGUGGAAUUUCCAGUGUAGAGGUGAAAUUCGUAGAUAUUGGAAAGAACACCAGUGGCGAAGGCGGCUCACUGGCUCGGUACUGACGCUGAGGAGCGACAGCGUGGGGAGCAAACAGG